GCAGGGCUGGAACUGUCAGGCAGCCCAGCAAGGGGCCGAGCCUGGGGAGUGUGGGCAACUCAACGUGGGAGGUGUUCUUGGCAGGCUCACCUGCAGCUUCUGGGCAUGCACUUUCACUGAAUCCUCCUGCAGAUCCUGGGGCACCUGUGCCACCAAGGGCCCUGCUUGCCUGGCUGGCUCCUUGGUGCCCUGACCCACAGCUCCUCUCACUUGCGUGCCACUCCGAAGAGACUGCUGCUUUCUUCUGAAACAGGCCCUCUUCUGUGACUCACUGUCCAUUGUGGUCCCUUCCUGUUCAUUUUCUGCUCUGCUCUUGCUUUUUCUCCCUUGAGGCCAUUAAGUCCACUUCUGGGUCUAAAUCCUGGUUCUGAACCCUAGAGGGGAUCAUUGUCCCCAUGUCAACAGGAAGUAGGGCUAGUGGCAUUUCUACCUCAUCCGAAGUAUGCACUGGGGAGGUUGUGUGAGGUGAGACACAGCUCUUGAGGGCGGCUGGUGUCAUACCCCCAACCCUGGCCUUCUCUUAAGGCCAAGGCUGGGCCCUGCAGGACACCAGCCCAUGGGUAGAUGUUUUUGUGAAUCAGAAUUAGGUGCUAUUCUCCUCUUUGUGUGGAGCAUGGAUUUGAUGGAAAAAGGGAAUGUAAUUGGGGGAGGUGGGAGCCAAGUCUCUGGACAGAGUCGGGAGACUAGUGGCUUACUGAGUUUUGGGAGACAUUCUAGGGCAACAAGGUAUCUUUCAGAAUUUGAUCCACGGCAGCCUUAGGCAGAUGUUUAAGAAUACAGGCUUGUAUCUGGAAUUCGUUUUUAAGGUCUGCUAGCUGUCCAGGGUCAUGGGUUCAUUUGCACAGGUUCCUGCACAUUCUGCUUUUAUCCCUUGGGGACCCAGGACACAUGGGGUCUCUGCUCAGUCUCUGUCUUUAGAAGGAAGCUUCAAGCUGGGCUAUCAGAGCUGAUGGUGAACACACAAUGAUUGUCCCCUGGCCCUGGACGUCUUCCUAAGAGUCCAUGUGCCUGCUCACUCUUCCUCUGAGUCUGGAAGUGCGUCGCAGUGUGUUCCUCUGGCUCCCAGAAUCUGACAUCCGUUUCAUCUCGGAGGAGCACAUCCUGAAUAAAGGUUAUUCUAAUUUUAACAGCAGGAAAUGCUAAGCUCAAUGGUGAACAAGAAAGGCCAUCUCUCCGCAAAGCCUAAUGCAUCUUAGGAAUGUGUGACAAUUUACUUUUUGUUUUCAUUAAAAAAUGUGUUUUAGAGGCAGGGUCUUGCUGUCACCCAGGCUGAAAUGCAGUGGCAUGGUCAGGGCUCAGUAUAACCUCCAACUCCUGGGCUCAAGUGAUCCUCCUGCCUCAGUCUCCUGAAGUGCUGGGAUUACAGGUGUAGGCCACAGCACCUAGCCGUUGUGAAAAUUUAAAUAGUGAUUUUUCCCUCAGUGGCUCUGACACAAGAAGCAGACAGGAGGAGAUAGGGUGCAGGCUCGUGGUCACAGUUUUUCUCCCUUUAAAGUGUUUUCAAUUCCUGAGGCCAGUGGGGCGAAGGAUGACAAACAAAUCACACUUAAUCCUCUAAAUAGUGGUUAAUUCUCAUAACCAGGUGUAUUUCAAUUUGGUUUUUUCGGGGUGGGGGAUUGACAAGUAUUUCAGUUUUUAAGUGUUUUUUUUAAUGAUGAAAAAAAAAUCUACGCAAAAGCAUUUAGUACAACGGACACCCAUAAACGCAGCUACUGAGAUUCAAUAAUUGUCUUAAUUGCUUUGUGUGCAUACAUAUCUGACCAUCUAAAAGUAAACUAGACACCAUAUCACCCCCAAGUACUUCAACAUGUAUUUCUGAAGAGACACACUUAACAAAAUUAAUUUCCUAUAUCUAACACACACACACACACACACGUUCCCACACCUUUUAGCUGCUUUUCUCUCUGCCAAUCCAUGAUCAUGUAUCAUAUGUGGUGGUUCUGUCUCUGAAAUCUUUCGAUAUUGGAAGCAGGAGCCCCUGUGUCCCUUCCCUCCCAGCUUUUCCUGAACACACUGUUGUUUGUUUGAGGUGUUUAAUUCACUCCUGCAUCCUGUGCACUUACUGCAAGGAAGAAGUUGGAUCUAAAGCUCGGUUCAUCCAAGCUGCUGCUUUCUUUCAGGGUAGCUCCUGGGCCCCUGUGCACAGCAGGGCCACGUAGUGUCUGACAUCCAUGAUCAGUGGUAACAUUAGGCUCAGGUGGUAACAACUGGAUCCUUAAUCUGGCUCCCUGUAUUCCUUAAGCAUUUCUCAGUUGUGCCCUUUUCAUGUUCUCCAGAGCUGUGUCCUGGCACCUCUUCUGCGGACAGAGAGCCAGGGCAGGUACCUGCCAUAUUCCCUCUCAGGUCCAGAAAAGAGGUCACAGCAAUGAAAAUGCAGCUGAGGCCAUUUGAUCUCCCUCAACACAAAUGGAUCCUGUGAGUGUGACCUACGUCACAGCCCAUCACCUUCCCCUCGCUGGUUCCUGAAUUGAGGAGGAGGGAGAGGCGAGCUUGAAGUCUGCAUGAGUACACAUCGCUCACAUAAGAGCUAAGAUCCACAGAACGCCUUGCUUUUUCCUAAGAGGUGGCAUGACUGUGUGGCCUUUGGUUAUAAAGCUGUAUGAAACUGAGUAAGUCAAACUUAAUACAAUUCAAACUUAAAGUCAGUGGAAUUUUACUCUGGAGUCUCCAAAAGGGAGGCGGGAAGGAGGGGGAGGGGACAAUGGUUGAAAAGCUACCUUCACUGUUUGGGUGAUGAGUUCAAAGGUAGCCCAAACACCACAUCAUGCAACACAGCCAUGCAGCAAACCUGCACCUGUGCCAACUGAAACUGAAAUUUUAAAAAGCAUUCAAAACAUUGACUCUUGGAAGGGAUGCAGCUAUGCACCUGCAGUCAUAAAGUAUGCAGCGGCCACCUUUGCCUUUCUUUCCCUAUAAACGACCAAAUGCACCAGAGACAAGGACCCUGCGAUCACUGCUCCCUCACUUUGCAGAAUGCAGCCAUUGUAAUGGGCCAAAUCACUGUGGCACACAUAUUGACAUCUCAGCCCCUCCCUGUAGGAGCGAUGCCUUAACUUUCCCACUGGGGAACACUGACCCUGUUUGUGUGGAGCCCGUCCCCCUGGUGGCCGUUGUGAAGUUGUGUGCUCGGAUGCACUUGAGCCUUCCCCAUAUUUUCUAAGCCUCUUCUUUUAAGGUUGACAGCUGGUAAACUUGUACCAGCCAUCUCUAAGGUAGAUCAGAGUCCACUGCAGUGACCAACUCUGUGUAGACAUAGGGACCCCAGAGAAGCGCUUGUCUAUGUACAGAAAAACUGGUUUACUAAAUAAGCUGGUGUUUUGAAAUGUGACACUUUAAGUUUUUAGAGGGAAAACAGUAAUUGGGGAGCGACUGAACCUCCAGCUUUCCAAACGCGUGGCUAUCCUUUCUGCCACACGUGUGGCACAGUGUGUGUGCCAUCAGCUGGAAGAGCAGGGUUUGGGGAAGGGGUUAACAGAUAAGGAGCAUGAAUGACGCUGAGCCUGUCGGGGGGUGCAUGGGCAGUCCUGAGCCGGGGUUGAUGCGGCUAGGGCUUUGUCUCCUCUCACCAGCAGGUGAGUGUUACUUGAGUAUUACCGGCCGGCCUCCUGCUGGUGGGCUUGUUUUCUCCUGGCACGUGUGCCUUGGGAACAUGCGGGUUUCUUCUGUGCCUUUCUCGGACUCAAAGGCUGGCUUCAUCACCACCGAAGGGCUUGUUACCUUUACGAGGUAUUUCAGACUCCCCACACCAUUCUCUAGGUUUUGGUUACUAUAUCUCCAAAACCUGCCAUUUCUUGGCAAAUCUCCAUCCACCAGGUUUCUGAUUAUGUUUGAAGGUUAUCAUCAUCAUCAUGCUGGCAUCUUUGUCUUUUGGUGACCAACUGUUCUCUUACCAGUGUCUGUGAGUGGUUUCAUCUCUUUCAAGUAUGUCCAUCAGUAACAGUGACCUCCUUGUACUAUAAGCCUAUCAAUUUGGGUGGAGACAUUUAAAUAUUUAUAUAUUUUUUGAGACAGGGUCUUACACCGUUGCCCAGUCAGGAGUACAGUGUGGCACGAUCAGAGCUCACUGCAGCUUCCACCUCUGGGAGCUGGGACUAUAGGUAUGCCACCAUGCCUGUCUAAUUUUUUGUGUGUGUUUAGAGAUGAGAUCUUGCUAUAUUGCCUAAGCUGCUCUUAAACUCCUGGCCUCAAGCAAUCCUCUGGCCUUGGCCUCCCCAAGUGCUGGGAUUACAGGUGUGAGUGACUGCACCUGCCCCCAUUUAAGUAUUUAGAAAUUAAUGUCUCAGCAUGUUUUUUCAGAGUUGCAAAGAUAUUUUCACUUACUGAUAAAGGUUUAGUAGAAUUUUAGCUUUCACAACAAGUGAUGAUAUUGAUCCCUUUGGCAUUAUAUCUGUUUAGAAUUUUAGGAAAAUAUGAUUUUAAAAAUUAAAUUUACAUAAAUUAUUUUCAAGGAAGCUGAACAAAUCUGGAUGGGAUGGGGUGAUGGAAAAUACCAUUUGCUUUAAGUUUUGAGAAGCAAUUUUUUUAUUCUUUGGAAACCAGGGUUUAAGAAAUCUCUUCUCCUUGGAGACUUUAAAACUAAAACUGGUGCUAUUUAAGACAGAAGGAAAUGGUAAGAAUUUUCCAAGGCUCAUCAUGAAGAUACACAUCUUUCCCUUGAGAAUAGAGGCUAGAGAACUGCAAGAAGGCAGUUCCCUCUGGAGUCUCCUUUCCUGGGAGAUGCAGCUCCACACGGGUGAGUUUCUGGACAAAAGGAGAAAGGAGGGUGGUAUGUGUCCUAAUAUUUAACUGUUUAUUUGGGAUCAUGUUAUGCAUCUUAAAAAGCAAUAUAAGACAAAAUGUUGGAAAGACAUUUCAAAAUAAUUACCUUGAAGUAAUUCUCAUAAUUCAUAGGUAACAUUUUUGCGUAUUUUGCCUUU